CAUCGAACUCUGGAAACCUCAUUCCUUCCUAGCUGUAAAAGUCUGUCCAUUCUCCAGAAGGCCUUGGUGUAUGCUUUGUGAAUCCAUUCAGGUGAGCCUGCAUGUGGCUACAGCUCUCAAUCUACUGUGGCACCAUUUCAUGGUAAGUCCAUCUGUCUAUUGGAAUUGAGCAUCAGGGUGCUUCAGAAAUGCUACACCACUUCAGUGGGCAGAAUAAGGAGGUACACAUUCAAAAUGCCAGCAGAAGACAGUCUCACACAGACCUCUCUCUUUAUUCUGCAUAGUCUGAAUUUGAGCCUGGGAAGUUGUACAGGCCUGUCACUGCUGUCCUGGUAGUGAUGCAUUCAUGUCCAAGAAAGGUUAGGGCUAAUAUACACAGAAAAUCUGGUGAACUGCUUUCUGUCAGCCUAUUAAAUAUGCCACAUGUAAAAUGAAUUCAUAUAUAAAAGCUUAUUGGAUCAGAGACAAGAAGUUGAAAAUUUUCAAUAAAAUGUUGGUUUGGCUUCAGGAAGCUUAGUUGUUAACACUCACACUGUUUAUAUUGCUGUAGGUGGGUGUGAGUGCUAACAAAUUGCUAUUUCAGGGAACCAGAACGGUCCUGGUUGAUGACAGUAUGAAUAAUCAGAAUAAUAUCUAUAAUAAUUCACAUAGAAUAACAGAAUAUGCUGCAUUUCUUCAGUUGCAAUCAUUUGCUCAAAUUAUUAAAAGAUCAGCUACCUUGUUAGAUUUUUAUAGAGUAUAUUUAUAUUGUUUAUGCAUGCUAUAUAUACUUCACAGUCUACAAACCUGGUAACAAUAAAAGAAAAGGGAAAAAUUCACUUUGAUCUUUUGUGAGGGGAAAAAAAGACUUGCUUAUAUUUUCUUCUCUCCUUGCUUUUUUCUCACCAGGAACAGAUGCAGACUUGCAAAUAUUUUGCUAUAGGUUUAAAGGGGAUAGCAGUAAGAUAUUGCCAUUACAACAUUGGAAGCUUACGCUCUAGUAGCCUCAGAGAGGGAAAGAGAAAACACAGCUUCCUAGCUCACUGCAAUUUCCCUGUACCCAUUUAGGGGGCCCAAGCCUGGCAGUGUUUAAUGUUCUGAACUAAAAAUAGGAGAGCAGAGGAGAAGGAAAAAAAAUAGAAGAAUGGGCAGGGAAGCGUAUUUUGAGAUUACUUGUUUUCAAGAGUAAAUAUUUUCUUUACUUCUUGUGUUUCAGCUAAAAGCCUCUUGGUCAGCUCUCAGUCUGGCUCCUACAGAGGUAGUGAAGAUGUCACUCGUGGAGAUUUAAUGAUCGAGGAUCUGAUUUGUGUCCAGAAGAAUCCCACGUGUCCUCAUCUCCUUCUGACAUGUCAUUCCUGUCUUCACCCAGAGCAUGCUUCUUCCUGUCUUACCUUUGUCAAAUUCAGCAAUUAACUUAGUAUCUAGUUGAAAACUCCUUCCUUCAUGAACUCUGUAUUACUGUUAGUACUAGCUAUAUGUUAGUGGCCAUAGAAAACUCAUGGAUGCUGAGAGCUGUGCCAGGAAGGUGCCUACCUGCUUGAGGGUGACUGGAGGAGGCAAAGAAGAUGUGCAUGGAGGUCAGAGUUUCACUGAGCUUGUAAUGAUAUUACCAGCUAAUAUGUAUGUACAGGCUGCACUGCUGCCAGAUCUCCCUAAACAGCUGAGUUUCUCAUACCUGCAUACUGAAACCGUGACAGGGACUUGGCAUCACUGGGAUUGUGUGAGGUCCCCGCCCAGGAGCCAGUGUGAGCAGCUGCUGCAGCUGUGGUUUUGGCUGUGCCACCUCGUGGUGCUUUGCAAACCACACCCUGUCCUGGCAGGUGCUGCCUUGCCAGCAGACCACACAUUUACUUGAUCUCUUUUUCUUGUGGUCUUUAGCCAAAGCAGCCACAAGCUAAUAUCUAUCAUGAAAACACUCUUGUGGUUUUACUGAAUGCAUAUACAACCUCUUAAAAACCCUUCAUUUGAAAAGACAAAGCAGCUGUGUCCUACACCUUCCUCUACUUUUAGGAGAGCUGGGCCUCCAAAACCAUCUGCAGGAAGAACCACGCAUCUUCUCCCAGGUGAGUCAGCCUAGGUCAGUACAGCACCUGACUUACUGUCUCCAGCAGCAACAGCAUAGCUCCAAGGAAGCCCUAUUAUGAAAGGUGAGAAGUGAUGGAGAUGAACCCAGUGAGUCACAUGCUGUGCUGGGGCUUGGGAGCACUCCCAGCACUGGCCCCGAUAAUAGGCAAGAAAGAAGGAAGUGAUUAAUAAUUAAAAUAAUCAUGGGAUAAAUUAAGGUAAUUAGCCUCCUCACUUCUUAGUGUUGUCCUAAACUGGAACUGUGGGAUUCCAGCCCCACUGGUAUCGUGUCAGCUUGAAACUGCUCCCCACAUUAGGUUCUCUUAGAACUGUCCUCCUGGAUAGAGGCAGUUCUUCACCAAGAUGCAGGCCUUUGAAGUGGGAGUUAAAUAAACUUCCUCUACCACAGGUGCAAGAUACCUGUGAUGGUGGUACUGGAUUUGUUGCGGUGGGGCAGAGGUGCCAGUUUGUAACGCACCACAUGCCUUCUGUAGUGAUCAUCUUAGAGAUAUAAAAGGGAUUUUCUCCUUGUGGCUUUUCUGUUUAGAUCAGUGUGAUAUCAAAGGUGCAGCUUGGAGGACUGAGGCCACAUAAUUUCCCUGUCCUGCUGCCAGUUGCGGCUGUGUUAAGAUACCAGGGAUGGGUGAUACCACCUGCUGCUGGUGUGGGGUGGUUGGGAAAAGGGUCCCAGAAAGCUGCAGAGCUCUCUCUCUCUCACAGGAGAGGAGCAGAGAAAAGGAUGUUAACAAGUGAAAAAUAGGGAGGCAGAAGGAAGAGAAGGUAAAGGAGAAAUAGAUGAUACAUCCUGUGCCUGCAGGAAGCAAGGUAGAGCUUGCCACCUUUUAACAAAAUGUGAGGCUGUACAGAUGAGUAAGCAACAUCAGCAAGUAGCUUCUCAACUUAGUUCAUGUGUGCUUCAUGUUGCAUAGGGAAAGACUGCCUGUGAUGAGCUCAGCUGCCAGUUUUGCCCUGGUUUGGGUCUUUCAAAACUGACUGCAGCCCCAAAGAGUACAUCUGGGGUAAGAAGUGAAUAAAAAUAGCAAAGUGCUUCUGCUCUCGCGAGAAGUUUUAGCAACACAAACAGCCAUGAUUGUUGCAGUGACAUAUUCUCCAUUCUUUUUCUCUACUUUUUUCCUUGAAGAAAAAAAAAAAAGUAAUUGGGGUGUGAUGUUCUCUUUAACAAAGGCCUAUUGGUAAGUUUUGUAACCCGUAUUAUUGAAGUUGCAAGCAAGCACCGUGGAAAAUUGACAAGAUGCUAGAUAUAGUAUAAUGAACAAAAAUGUUGUGCUGUUACUAGUUCCAGUGACUCAUAAAAUAUUGAUAGCAGUCCAGAAUGCCCAGUGACCAAGAGGAGGCCAGUUCGCCCACAAGGAAUGUGCUAAUGAAAGAACACAAUUGGAUUAUAUACUCCGAGAAAUUCACCGGAAGGGGGGAGUUCUUUCUCCAUUUGCAUUGAAUUCAUGAAUAAAACUGGUGGGAGAAUGAGGAGUCCCACCAUGAGCAAGAAGGGAGGGAGAGGCGUGGGUUGGGCACAGGGCUCUGCUUGGGAUGGGAGUUGGGGUUGGUGGGCUUGUGGAGCUGGGCCCUGGGCAGGGAGGCUCCUCGGAUUGAUCUGUAUCAGGCUGUUUUUAGUUGAGUCAUUUCAUGUGGCCUUAGGUAGGCCCCAAAAGCUCUGCAUGACAGCUAGGUAACAAGCAGGCAUCAGCCUCGCCCUAAGUUGCAUUUUAAUUUUCUUCUUUUGUUGCAUCAAGAAUACAGCCAUCUCCUUUGCUGGAAUAAUGUGUAUGCUUUUGCAUUUAAGCUUGCCUGGUAUUCACAGUGAGUCCAGGCAGUGGUAGCAUACUUGGGAUGUGAUGAGGGGUGGGAGCCCCAACUAUGAGCAGAGCUUUCCUGGGGCAACACCAGGCUAAAGGGAAAAGUAUGGGAGUUGGUGUGGACAUCGCCUGGCUCCUGGCUGGGUGUGGAGCAGAUGAGCAGCACUCCCAGAGUCACAAGGCUGCCUGACUGAGCUCACAAGCUGGGCAAGAGGCAGCUGGGCUCACCUGGCUGCCACUGGUGCUUACUAGGAGCUACUUCCAGACUUGGCUUCUCUUGAGAAAACCCACUGAAAUGCCCCAAAGGAUGGAAGCUGAAAAAUGCGGCAAGGAUUUUUAAGACAAUGCUUUGAGUUUGAUUCUAAGUUAAUAUCUUUGUGUUAUGUACUUACUGAUUCAAAAUAAGCACUGCAGUCAUUCUGUUGUGCUCAGGUUGAGCUGUGUGUAUGUCAUAAAUAGAGAAUAAAGAUGUGCUUGCUUGUGAAUUCAAUCAACAGAAAAAUUCAAAUGUAUGAAACUGAGAAUGGAAUGAAUAACAAUCAUAUGUUAAAGCACAAGUUUUUUCAGCUUUUCUUGUGUAGUGUAACUUGUUAUGGCCAAAUUAUAUUCCUGAAGCUACUGCAAGUCAGUUCAGCCCGAGCUAUACCCUGUAUUUCCAGCCAGCAAAUGGUCUUUUCCUCAUACCUUUGGCAGUUUUUGCCAAAAUUUUAACUGUCCCAAGGACAUAAGACAAAUCCUUGGGCUUGAUUUGUUUUAAAAAACAUAACACCAGUUAAAAUGGAAACAAUGAUUUAAUAGAUGUCACAAUUGUAUAUCCAUAUAAAAUAUAUAUCUAAAAGAGGACUUACCUAUCUGCAGUUUAAGCGUG